GCCGCUAUUUAAAAUCGG
rnacentral:tRNA from 1 species